GAGGGUAGAGCUCAGGGGUAGAGCAUAUGCUUAGCCUGCAUGAGGUCCUAGGUUCAAUCCCUAGUACCUCUA
rnacentral:tRNA from 1 species